AUAACAUUCGGACCGUCGGUCUACCGAGCAAUAUCACCCACUCGGUGGGAAGAUCUUUCCCUCCGUCGU
rnacentral:pre_miRNA from 1 species